AAAACCGAUCAAUUCUAGUUAAGAAUUGGGAAUGACCUUAUAUCCAAGAUAUUUGGUUUAAAUUUAUUAGGUUGAUGAGCUUCCCAAUACGGCUCAAUGUGUGCUAGCGAGACAGUUGUCCCGAUCUCACAUUUCAGCUGUGUUGCAGAGUUCUAUGCACAACCUCUAAACUAACCUUAUCAU
rnacentral:misc_RNA from 1 species